rnacentral:rRNA from 1 species
AUGUGGCACAAGACCGGCAAUACCUUGCUGGUGAUGGUCAACGGCCGGCAGACGGGCAGCAAAAAGGUUCUGGUGCUGCACACCAACAAGAACUUCGACCAGCAGAGGACCAACUGGGUGAUGCACCAGUACCACCUCGGGGACCUGGAGCAAGAGAAGGAGCGGGAGCUGGUCCUCUGCAAGAUUUUCUACCAGACGAACACUAGGUCGAGCAAGUUUCAACUGGGCUGUAGACUGUCCAGGGUUGGUUUUGUUUUUAACAGACCCAGCCCAUGA